rnacentral:rRNA from 2 species
UAUCGCCGUAGGAUGGGACUGCGGCCUAUCAGUUUGUUGGUGAGGUAAUGGCCCACCAAGACUAUUACAGGUACGGGCUCUGAGAGGAGUAGCCCGGAGAUGGGUACUGAGACACGGACCCAGGCCCUAUGGGGCGCAGCAGGCGAGAAAACUUUGCAAUGUGCGAAAGCACGACAAGGUUAAUCCGAGUGGUUUCUGCUAAAGAAACCUUUUGUCAGUCUUAGAAACACUGAUGAAUAAGGGGUGGGCAAGUUCUGGUGUCAGCCGCCGCGGUAAAACCAGCACCUCAAGUGGUCAGGAUGAUUAUUGGGCCUAAAGCAUCCGUAGCCGGCUCUGUAAGUUUUCGGUUAAAUCUGUACGCUCAACGUACAGGCUGCCGGGAAUACUGCAGAGCUAGGGAGUGGGAGAGGUAGACGGUACUCGGUAGGAAGGGGUAAAAUCCCUUGAUCUAUUGAUGACCACCUGUGGCGAAGGCGGUCUACCAGAACACGUCCGACGGUGAGGGAUGAAAGCUGGGGGAGCAAACCGGAUUAGAUACCCGGGUAGUCCCAGCUGUAAACUAUGCAAACUCAGUGAUGCAUUGGCUUGUGGCCAAUGCAGUGCUGCAGGGAAGCCGUUAAGUUUGCCGCCUGGGAAGUACGUACGCAAGUAUGAAACUUAAAGGAAUUGGCGGGGGAGCACCACAAGGGGUGAAGCCUGCGGUUCAAUUGGAGUCAACGCCGGG